rnacentral:tRNA from 1 species
GAGGGUAUAGCUCAGUGGUAGAGUGCAUGCUUAGCAUGCACAGGGUCCUGGGUUUGAAUCCCAGUACCUCCA